rnacentral:rRNA from 1 species
CUUGUAGGUGGCGUGUCGCGUCUGUCGUGAAAGGCUCCGGCUUAACUGGGGUAGUGCGGUGGGUACGGGCAUGCUUGAGUGUGGUAGGGGAGAUUGGAAUUCCUGGUGUAGCGGUGGAAUGCGCAGAUAUCAGGAGGAACACCGGUGGCGAAGGCGGAUCUCUGGGCCAUUACUGACGCCGAGGAGCGAAAGCGUGGGGAGCGAACA